rnacentral:ncRNA from 1 species
CCCGCUGAGUUUAAGCAUAUAAAUAAGCGGAGGAGAAGAAACUUACGAGGAUUCCCCUAGUAACGGCGAGCGAACCGGGAGAUGCCCAGCUUGAGAAUCGGGCGGCCGCGCCGUCCGAAUUGUAGUCUGGAGAGGCGUCCUCAGCGACGGACCGGGCCCAAGUCCCCUGGAAAGGGGCGCCUGGGAGGGUGAGAGCCCCGUCCGGCAUAUAUAUGUAUAUACAUACAUACGUAUAUAUAUACAUACGUAUAUAUAUACAUACGUAUAUAUAUAUAUGUACGUAUAUAUAUAUAUAUGUAUAUAUAUAUGUAUAUAUAUA